CCUCACAGUUCACUGCCGUGGUAUUUCUUCUGUCCCAUGCUUUGCAUGACUGCCAUGGUACAGCCUUGUUUCAAACUGUUCACUGUGAUCUGUGGGUCUUUGAGUUUCAGUGAGUUUGCUGAAAUGUCGAAGAAAUAUUUCCAAACUUCAAUGUUCAAUGAAAUUUUUGUUCAAGUUUGAAAUGGAGAGAGCAGCUUUAAAAGGUACUAAGCCUUUUACAAAUUGAUGUGGAAGAUGUGAAAUUUGUCAUCAAUUAUGACUACCCUAACUCCUCAGAGGAUUAUAUUCAUCGAAUUGGAAGAACUGCUCGCAGUACCAAAACAGGCACAGCAUACACUUUCUUUACACCUAAUAACAUAAAGCAAGUGAGCGACCUUAUCUCUGUGCUUCGUGAAGCUAAUCAAGCAAUUAAUCCCAAGUUGCUUCAGUUGGUCGAAGACAGAGGUUCAGGUCGUUCCAGGGGUAGAGGAGGCAUGAAGGAUGACCGUCGGGACAGAUACUCUGCGGGCAAAAGGGGUGGAUUUAAUACCUUUAGAGACAGGGAAAAUUAUGACAGAGGUUACUCUAGCCUGCUUAAAAGAGAUUUUGGGGC
rnacentral:sRNA from 1 species